UAGCUAACUUGGUAAUACAGGGCAGUUGGGGCACAAAGGAAUAGAACACAGUCCUAUUGUGGGUGAGUGGGAACAUAUAAAGCUCAGAUUUUUAUAAAUAAGUAGGUAUUUGCCAAGUAGACAAGAAAAGUCAAGCCAGUCUGGGCAGAGGUGGCAGUGUGGGCAAUUGCAUGGAAAUAUAAAAGGCCCUGGCACUCUUACUAGGGACAUAUAGCUGUAAUGGCCACAACAUAGAGAUGAGGCUGGAACGGUCAUGUAGGACCUUUCAGGAAUCUGGACAUAGCCUAAUUUUCUUCUCUAUUAGAGUAGAACAUCUUGAAGGAUUUUUUUUUUUUUUUUUUUUGAGACACGGUUUUGCUCUCACUCUGUCGCCCAGGCUGGAGUGCAGUGGCGCAAUCCUCAAACUCCCCGGGCUCUGGUGAUCCUCCCACCUCAGCCUCUGGAGCAGCUGGCACUACAAGCACAUGCCACCACACCCACCUCAUUUUUGUUGUUUUGUUAUUUUUUUGUAGAGACAGGAUUUUACCACGUUGCCCAGGUGCUGGUCUUGAACUUGGGCUCGAUCUGCCCACCUUGGCCUCCCAAAGUGCUGGGAUUACAGGCAUGGAGCCACCAUGCCCAGCCUAAGGGUUCUUUUAUAUUAGUGCAAAUGGUAAUGAUGCCUUGGAAACUGAUGAAACAUUUGAGAGAAGCAUGCUUAAAUGUCACUCAGUUUAAAAUAUGGGUCUUGGAAUUUAAGAUUUUUUUUCUGUGUUUAGAACAUAAGGCACCUUAGAGGCACAGACUUUAUUAAAGUAACAAGGAAUGCUGCCAUAACUAGGUAGGGGCCCAUGCCAAUAGCUGAAAGGACUCUUUAGGGACUUUAAGUAAAUGACAAAAAGAGUCAUUAAAAAUGGCAAUAUUCACUUUGGGAAGAGAACUACCUAUAUUUUGUCACAUAGUUGACUCAUACAUGUUUAUAUAAAACAGAUUACAAAUGACAAAAUAUCGCAAUUCCUCCUCACAAGGGAAACUGAUGAAAACCUUUAGCUUGGUUGGUGAAAAAAUUUUUUCAGUUUCUGACUCUGUUUAGAUUUCCUCUCUUUUAUUACUCAAACGUUGUUGAUCCUCUUUGUUGUUACUGUUUUCUCCCUAAAUCUGGUUAUGCUAGAAUAUUUCUUCCUCUGUUGUAGGCCUUUAUUCUGUCUCUUAUAAAUUUACUCAAAUGUGUAUCUAAAACAGUUUUCAGAAUGAUUUUCCUUUCUUGGUUUGCCUGGUCCUGGAUCUAGUGAGCUCCACAUAAUGCGUUCUUCUUCCAUGUGGAUCCCCAGGGUCUUCUUGCUGCUUUGGGUCACGUGCUGCCAAAAAGGUGUUUGAUUCUGAGUUUUUGUGGGAAGUGUGACAUGUUGACUGGGCCCGGAAUUCGUAUUGUGAGUUGUCUGUUGUUGGAUAGUCUGGCUUGCUGGUAGGAGCCUGCCUUGAUUUGUGUUUAAGAACCUGGAACAUCUCUGGUACCGAGUAAAGCCUCAGAAGAAUCUUUUAAGAAAGCUUUCUGGGAUAGUGAGGCAGUCUUUAUGAGGAGCAGC
rnacentral:lncRNA from 1 species